GCGGUUGCCUAUCUUCACACUGCCCACGGUUUCAGAAAGUCAGUGCUCAGGGCUGCUAGCUGUGGGCGGGCAAUGCUUGCUUGCCCUGCGCUUUGCUGCCCGGCUGCCUGGCGGCAGCGGGAGAUAGGGGAACGCAGGAGGCACCGCCUGAAUUUAUGGAGCACCCACCACAUGCAAAGGCCAGGCUACACGCUGGAAACGAGGCCGCAGUGAUCUCGGACUUCCGCGCACACAUCGAUUACCUGGGGCGUUGCUGUAAUAUCAGCUCCUGGGUUCAAGCGAUGGCUUGGUAAGUUUCAGGCAAGACCUGGAUUUGUACCUUUUCACUUGUGCCAC
rnacentral:lncRNA from 1 species